rnacentral:rRNA from 1 species
AGAGUUUGAUCAUGGCUCAGGAUGAAUGCUGGCGGCGUGCCUAACACAUGCAAGUCGAGCGGCAGCGAGGGGUGCUUGCACCCUGUCGGCGAGCGGCGAACGGCUGAGUAGCGCGUAGGAAUUUGCCCCAAAGUGAGGGAUAACUGCCCGAAAGGGUAGCUAAUACCGCAUAUGGUCUUUGGAUUAAAGGAUUUAUCCGCUUUGGGAGAUGCCUGCAUUGGAUUAGGUAGUUGGUAGGGUAAUGGCCUACCAAGCCGACGAUCCAUAGCUGGUCUGAGAGGAUGAUCAGCCAGACUGGAACUGAGACACGGUCCAGACUCCCACGGGAGGCAGCAGUGAGGAAUCUUCCACAAUGGGCGAAAGCCUGAUGGAGCAACGCCGCGUGAAGGACGAAGGCCUUCGGGUUGUAAACUUCUUUUAUGAGUGAAGAAUAUGACGGUAACUCAUGAAUAAGCACCGGCUAACUACGUGCCAGCAGCCGCGGUCAUACGUAGGGUGCAAGCAUUAUCCGGAGUGACUGGGCGUAAAGAGUUGCGUAGGCGGUUUAAUAAGUGAAUAGUGAAACCUGGUGGCUCAACCAUACAGACUAUUAUUCAAACUGUUAAACUCGAGAAUGGUAGAGGUAACUGGAAUUUCUUGUGUAGGAGUGAAAUCCGUAGAUAUAAGAAGGAACACCGAUGGCGUAGGCAGGUUACUGGGCCAUUUCUGACGCUAAGGCACGAAAGCGUGGGGAGCGAGCCGGAUUAGAUACCCGGGUAGUCCACGCCGUAAACGAUGGAUACUAGCUGUUGGAAGUAUCGACCCUUUCAGUAGCGAAGCUAACGCGUUAAGUAUCCCGCCUGUGGAGUACGGCCCGCAAGGUAAAACAUGAAGGAAUUGACGGGGACCCGCACAAGCCGGUGGAUUAUGUUCUUUAAUUCGAAGAUAACCGAAGAACCUUACCAGGGCUUGACAUCCAGGGAAGGUCUAUGAAAGUAGACUGUGCCUUUUGGAACCCUGUGACAGGUGAUGCAUGGCCGUCGUCAGCUCGUGUCGUGAGAUGUUAGGUUAAGUCCUUCAACGAGCGCAACCCUUGCAAGUAGUUGUAUUUUUCUACUUGGACUGCCCCGGUAACGGGGAGGAAGGAGGGGAGGAUGUCAGGUCAGUAUUUCCCUUACGUCCUGGGCUAGAAACGUAAUACAAUGGCUAGUACAAUGCGCAGCGAAGCCGCGAGGUGAAGCAAAUCGCAUCAAAGCUAGUCCCAGUUCGGAUUGGAGGCUGAAACUCGCCUCCAAGAAGUCGGAAUCGCUAGUAUAUUGCGGGGUCAGCAAGUUGCGGUGAAUACGUUCCCGUGGUCUUGUACACACCGCCCGUCA